rnacentral:rRNA from 1 species
GGGGAAGAUGAUGACGGUACCCCAUGAAUAAGCACCGGCUAACUACGUGCCAGCAGCCGCGGUAAUACGUAGGGUGCGAGCGUUGUUCGGAAUUACUGGGCGUAAAGGGCGUGCAGGCGGAUUGGCAAGCCGGAGGUGAAAGCCCGGGGCUCAACCCCGGAGGGUCUUUCGGAACUGCCAGUCUUGAGAGGGUCAGGGGCCAGCGGAAUUCCUGGUGUAGAGGUGAAAUUCGUAGAGAUCAGGAGGAACACCGGCGGCGAAAGCGGCUGGCUGGGGCCACUCUGACGCUGAGGCGCGAAAGCGUGGGGAGCAAACAGGAUUAGAUACCCUGGUAGUCCACGCCGUAAACGAUGGGCACUAAGCGUCCGACGGGUUCGACCCUGUUGGGUGCUGCAGUUAACGCGUUAAGUGCCCCGCCUGGGGAGUACGGUCGCAAGACUA